UCCAGACUCCUACGGGAGGCAGCAGUGGGGAAUAUUGCACAAUGGGGGAAACCCUGAUGCAGCAACGCCGCGUGAGUGAAGAAGUAUUUCGGUAUGUAAAGCUCUCUCAGCAGGGAAGAAAAUGACGGUACCUGAGUAAGAAGCCCCGGCUAACUACGUGCCAGCAGCCGCGGUAAUACGUAGGGGGCAAGCGUUAUCCGGAUUUACUGGGUGUAAAGGGAGCGUAGACGGCAUGGCAAGUCAGAUGUGAAAGCCCGGGGCUCAACCCCGGGACUGCAUUUGAAACUGUCAGGCUGGAGUGCAGGAGAGGUAAGUGGAAUUCCUAGUGUAGCGGUGAAAUGCGUAGAUAUCAGGAGGAACACCGGCGGCGAAGGCGGCCUGCUGGACCGCGACUGACGUUGAGGCUCGAAAGCGUGGGGAGCGAACAGGAUUAGAUACCCUCGUA
rnacentral:rRNA from 1 species